GAUGAACGCUGGCGGCGUGCCUAAUACAUGCCAGUCGAGCGACCGGACGAGAAGCUUGCUUCUCUGAUGUUAGCGGCGGACGGGUGAGUAACACGUGGAUCACCUACCUAUAAGACUGGGAUAACUUCGGGAAACCGGAGCUAAUACCGGAUAAUAUUUUGAACCGCAUGGUUCAAAAGUGAAAGACGGUCUUGCUGUCACUUAUAGAUGGAUCAGCGCUGCAUUAGCUAGUUGGUAAGGUAACGGCUUACCAAGGCAACGAUGCAUAGCCGACCUGAGAGGGUGAUCGGCCACACUGGAACUGAGACACGGUCCAGACUCCUACGGGAGGCAGCAGUAGGGAAUCUUCCGCAAUGGGCGAAAGCCUGACGGAGCAACGCCGCGUGAGUGAUGAAGGUCUUCGGAUCGUAAAACUCUGUUAUUAGGGAAGAACAUAUGUGUAAGUAACUGUGCACAUCUUGACGGUACCUAAUCAGAAAGCCACGGCUAACUACGUG
rnacentral:rRNA from 1 species